UACCCGCAGCACAAGUGGUGGUCAUUAUUAUUGGGCCUAAAGCGUCUGUAGCUGGCUUGUUAGAUGCCUGGGUAAAUCGAUGCGCUCAACGUAUCGAAUUCCGGGUAGACCGGCAAGCUCGAGACCGGGAGAGGUGUAGGCUACUCGAGGGGUAGGGGUAAAAUCCUGUAAUCCUUCGGGGAGGACCAGUGGCGAAGGCGCUACACUAGAACGGCUCUGACAGUGAGGGACGAAGCCCUGGGGCGCAAACCGG
rnacentral:rRNA from 1 species